GUUGUGUGAUUUUUAACUUUGACCACAGGUUAGAUUUGUUGUCGGGGAUUGGUGGGAGUCCAUUGAUAGAAGAGGUCGAAAUAGACAGGAAGAGAAUAGAGCAAGUAAAAACAAUGCUUCAGAGGGAGUUCAUCAAAUUGCAGACAAGUUGUUUCCAGACUGGAGCUGUAAAGGAUAAAAAAACUAUGCUAAAGUUAAUUCCGGUUGCAGAGAAAAAAAAGGGAGCAAACAUUCCCAGAAGGGAGGGUGGGGAAUUAUGAACGUGACUUGCUGAUGAUUAAAUUUUGCUGCCAAUGUGGGAAAAGCCUGUUUACACUCUUCUUUAUGACCAAUUCAGUUAAGAUUGGUACUGAAGCUGUGGUCACACCAGUGCCCACUGUACUAAGACCUUUGUCUACAAGAAUGGAUGAGAGACACAUGUUUCUUGAAGUCCAGGACCAGCAUCAACCUCCAGUGGAUGUAGAACUGCCUGUUACUCUCAGCCUUCAGCCAUCAGUGCCCUCAUAACGUGGUGAAGAUGCAGGAGUUACUUGCCUUCCAUGGAAUGUGUUUGAAUGAGAGAAGGCAGCCACACUAUAUUUUGGCCAGAGGUGGUGGUUAGAAUGACAUGUCAUGGUGUUCAGCAUAUCUUCUUCUGAGAUCACUGCGAGCCAUAGAAUGGCCCCUCCGUGUUAGGUUUCCAUGCUGAUCAUGUCUGGGUCUUCCGACCAGAACAGUUCAGACAGAAAAUGCUGCUUAAUUCUUGGAAUCUCUGCUCCAGACAACUGGAGGAUGUUUUGAGGCAAUGGGAUGAUGAUGGGUAUCCAUGAGAGCAUUGCACCAAUGAGGACAUGAGGAAAUUCUUCAGAUUGAACAACACCUUCAGCAACCUACAGUGCGGCAGUAUCAGCCAAAGUAUUACAGGCAUGACUCCUUUCUGAACUUUGCUCAAUGGAACAGACUUGUGUGAAGUCUCCUUUCACUGACUGUAAAUGUCUUGACACUGCUGAGGCUAGCAUUUCCUGUGUAAUCCCAUCUGCAAGUGCAGCUUAAUGGUUUGUUCUUUUUUUGUGGUUCAGGUUGUUCAAUAAAAUUUCAGAUUGCAAAUGGAUGAAAGCCUUCACAACAUCGGGCACUCCCUUGUUCAGUCAUGACAAAGUUUCAUGUUAGUAUAUAUGGAGAGGAUAGCUGUUGCUCAAACAAGGUUAGGAUGUGGGUGUUAUGCUAAGAAUGGCUAGCCUCUCAAACUUCCUUUUUGUAAUUGCAACUAAAAUGACUCACUCACAGAGCUGAUGAUGAAAAGUGAACAUUUAUUUAAAACGUGAUAAUUAUUUACAAUGAAGUGCCAACCGUGACCAACUACAUGCCUUAUAAAAUUGUUUCCUUUCCCUCCCAUUACAUAUAGGUUAUCUGCAGUUGGGAUGGAGGGAACUUAUUGGCCUUGGAGUUUUGGACUGACAACCUUGGGGGUAUUUGUAACUAGAAGGCCCACAAAUCCUGAGUGAGUCCUGCCCAGAUUCAGGUUCACUCUGUUCAUUAUGAACUUUCACAGGGCUGAGGGUGGCAGAUAGGGUGGAGGUGGGGGGCCUGGACUACCUUAGAGUAUCCUAAGAAGAGAUGUUUGGAGAGUUCUGUAUGUGUUUCCUCCACCAGUUGGUUCCUUACAGCAACACCCUGUCUCUCGAUGAGAAAGGGUGCCUGAAGUGAGUUCAGGGUGCUUUGACCCCCUGUUGCCUUGCUUAGCAUCAAUAGCUAAAGUGCUGGAGUGCAGGCCUUCUGCAUAUUUUCAGCAGAUGCUGAGUGUGCUGGAUCCGGGUCUCCAUGGCAUCUGCCAAGCUGUCCAUAAAGACAACCAGACACUUGCAUGUUGGAGGCUACAUGAUACAGUAGCAUUGGUAGAUUCCUCAACCUUUUGAAUCAGUUUACCCAACCACUCCUACAAACCAGCCCACAACUUCUGUGCCUGCAUAUUCAUUUAGAUUAAGUUGGCUGACACCGGGGGGUUCUCUCCUGUCUGGGGUUGACCAGUUAUCUAAUGUCCAGCUGUCCUCUGAGUGUCAGCAACUUGGAAUAUUUCUUCCUUGAUCAGCUGUGGAGAGGUAGCAGUGAUGUUCUCACCAGAGUGUACUCCUGACUGCACUCUAGCUAAUGUAUACACUGAGAUCAUAGUGUCAUAUGGCAUUGAAACAGACCCUUCAGUCCAACUCAUCAAUGCUGACCAGUUUUCCCAAACUAAACUAGCCUCACUUGCC